AGACUGGGUCAGACAUCUGUGGGUUCUUUCAAGAUGCCGAAUAUGAGAUGUGUGUUCGCUGGAUGCAGCUGGGCGCCUUUUACCCCUUCUCCAGGAACCACAACACCAUCGGGACCAAGAGACAAGACCCUGUAUCCUGGAAUAAAACCUUUGAGGACAUUUCCAGAAGUGUGCUGGAGACCAGAUACACCCUGUUGCCAUAUCUCUACACCUUGAUGUACAAAGCCCACAAGGAGGGCAGCACAGUUGUGCGGCCUCUUCUGCAUGAGUUUCUGGCAGACCGGGAGACCUGGAACGUAGACAAACAGUUCCUGCUGGGUCCAGCCUUCCUAGUCAGUCCUGUGUUGGAACCUAAUGCCAGAAAUGUCACUGCAUAUUUCCCUAAAGCCCAGUGGUAUGAUUAUUACACGGGUGCAGAUAUUAAUUCAACAGGAGAGUGGAGGACCUUGCCAGCCCCUCUUGAGCACAUUAAUCUUCAUGUCCGAGGGGGUUACAUCUUGCCAUGGCAACAACCUGCCCUGAACACCAACUUAAGUCGGAAGAAACCUCUUGGUCUCCUCAUUGCUCUGAACGAGAAUAAAGAAGCAAGAGGAGAGCUGUUCUGGGAUGAUGGGCAGUCAAAGGGUGAGUACCUUGAGAGGGUGUGACCUUGGCAGACCUGCACUAGAUUUCUCCUAGUGCCAUAUGAUUCAGAUUAAUUUCUGCUCUCACAAUGAAGAGCUUCCUUCUUUUCUAAUACUAAUGUCUACAGUGUUGCCUACAUGCACUGUAUCAUUUUUAUUCAUUUGCUGAUAGACAAGUUUGUUGUUUUACUAUACUGGGUAUUUUGAAAAGAAAAGAAUCAGAUUUAACAUAAAAUUUUUUCCAUUAAUUAAUUUAUUCACUUUACAGCUUGUUUGAAACCCACUUUCCUAUUCUUUUCCCAGUGUGACGCUCACAAAUACCUUCCCAUUUUACCCCCUCCCAUUAUCCUCGGAGAAAUGAAAGCCCCACUUUGUACCCACCCUUGGACAUCUUGUCCUGGCAAGACUAAACACAUCCUUUCCCACUGAGGACUGGCAGUGUGGUCCAGCUAGGGGAGGG
rnacentral:lncRNA from 14 species